rnacentral:pre_miRNA from 1 species
AGGAGGAACAACCGCAGUGGUUGCUCUGGAAACCUGGAUUCAGCCCCCGCAGUAACUCCGGAGCUCUCAGUCUGCAGGGCCUGGAGGCUCUGGGGCGGG